CCUUCGAUAGCUCAUUUGGUAGAGCGGAGGACUGUAGAUCCCUAGGUCACUGGUUCAAAUCCGGUUCGAAGGA
rnacentral:tRNA from 1 species